rnacentral:lncRNA from 1 species
CCCCGUUUGCGAUUCACUGUGCGGCGGUCCAAAGCCGGAGAAACCCCGCUCGAUUACGGCGUUAGCGGGUGGGGAAGCGUGAAAGCGAAAUAUUAUGCAGUGAAUUUUCGUGGGAGGGCAUUGCCUGGCGAGGCCCGCGAGAAAAGCCAGCGCCGUCGAAGACCGCGGAGUGUUGUGUUUGUGUAACCCCGGCCCGGCCGAAUCUCAUCUCGCCCCCGAGCGCCCCCGAGAGCCCCCGGUGAGCGCGCCCCCGCCUCGCCAACCCCCAAAUUGAUGGGAAUUCCAGUCUCCAUGAAUUAUGGUUCAUCCUCGCACCGGAAAUGUAGCGAUCACGGUGGUACUAAUACACUUCGUGUUAGGCAGCACAUCUGUCCUCUCAAACGCGGAUAUCCCCAUUGAGGAUCAGAAACCAAAUGAUGCCAAAGAGGAGGACAGUGGAGGGACAGAAGGCAGGCUUCAACCAAAUGAUGCCAAAGAGGAGAGCAAUGGAAGGACAGAGGGCAGGCUUCAACCUCGAGAAGCCACGGAUCCCCCUCAAGGUACUCACGACAGCUUCGGCAACACUGUCUCCUACAUGAACUUCUUCCAAAAGGCAGGAUUUUUAGGGGAACAACAAGAAGGCUCUGACUCUUUCAAGAGAAGUCCGUUUCUUAAACGGUUCCGGGAUUUCUUGUCUCAGGAAGUAAACAGGGAACUAGCGCCAUCAGAGUCCAUUCAUGACGACUAUGUCGACCUUUCGUCGAACUCAACCCAUGAAUUAAACCAAAGCUCACUUGUGCCAUCAAAUGCAACUUUCCAUAAUUCUAGUGACCUGUUGAAUCUUGCCGACCCAGACGCGAAAGAAUCAUCCGUCAUUGACCUAAAGUUGCACAGAGCCAUUGAAGAAAAUGCUGAUCAAAAUGAUUCAUCGAGUAGCGCAGCCAGGGUUGACACCCAGGAGAGACGAAACAGAACCGAUGAAGAGGAUACUUUUGCUGGCACUCGGCAGAGAGCAAAUGUAACCUUAGAUGUCCUGCAGAUCGACAAUUUUGUUGAAAACGAAACCCAGAAAAGUUUAUCCAGCGAGCCGAAUCCUGUCGAUUUACAAGCCGCAGCAGAUUCAUCUUCCGAUUUUCCGAAAGUGCAAGCCCUUGACAGUGCGGGCGCCAAACAAAAUCGAACUGAAAAAACUUCUGACGCAAAUGUGGCAGCGUCCUCUUCUGAGUUUCUCAAGCUCCAAAGAGCCAUCGAUGAGGAGACCAAACGUCUUCAAUCGAAAGCGAAAACCUCUGGCAAGCUCGCUUUCGGUGAUAAAAUGGACCGGAGCAAGAAGAAAGACACGAACUCUGACAUAGAAUACCCCUCCAGCGAUGACGAUUACCCAGACAUCAAAGACAUCCCCUCCCACAACGAAGUCCCAUCCUACGAGGCCCUCCAGAAAACAUACAACGAGGACGGCUACCUAACACCGGCCCCCAGUCGUGCGACCAGCUCCUUCGGAAUCGAGAAAUACCACAUCCCCAAAACGCAAGCGAACUACCCCUUGAGCGGAAGCGAAUCGUUCAACAACUUCGAAUACCCCUCCCUGAAGCAGCGAGUCUACAGCGCUCACCCUUACACCCCGACGACGAGAUCAAAACACGGCGCCCCACAGGUCAACGAGGACCCGGAGGAAUAUCCCCAGUACGGCGAUCCGUCGGAUUUCAUAGGUAUCGGGCAAUACCCGUCCGAUUACGUCAUACACAGCGCUGAAGAACCAGAGGCUGAUUAUUACGACGAUGAGAAGAGUCCACCUCCCGCCGGCUACUACCCUUACUUCACGCCGCAGAAGAAGAAGAAGCCGUCGGACGAAGACGAUUACGAUUUCGGCGACGGGGACGACGAAGACGAGGACGGCGAGAAGAAGGACAAAGACGAAUACUACGACGAAGGAGAAGGAGAGCCCGAUGCUGACUACACGAACGUCCACCCGACGAUCAAAGCCUUGGACUCGGAGACAAAGGAAUCCAAGUCGAUCUCGUCCAAGCGGAAACCGGACAAAGACAAGAAAAAAGAUAAGAAGUCGAUGAAGAAGAUAUUGAAGGCAGCCCCAAUGCUACUACCCGCUCUGCCGAUCAUGGCUGCCAUGGCCAGACCGUCCAGUCCGAUAAAGCACUGCACGCUGAAAAACAAAACCGUCGAGCCCGCGCGGAAUGAAAGUUCGAACGCGACGAAGCAGGCUUCCUACUGCUACACCUGUGUCAAUUUUGCAAACGGCGAAAAGACGGAGCAAUGCGUGAACAAAACGCUCGAGAAGCCCGAUGAUGUUCUCUCGACCACCCCGAGUGGGAAGGAAGGUGACGCCAAGGUCCGCGUGGCUCGGCAGGUGAUCGUGAGGAGGUGGAUGCCUCAGAUGGAGGUCUACCCGCGUGAAACGAGGCGUAGAGCACCCCGACGGGACGAGGUCGACGCCGUGGAUUUCGACUUUGAGCAUCAUGGGGAGGAUAUAGAGAACGAUGACCUCGAUUUCUUCUCGGACGAGGACGGAGAGGCCGGCUCUGACGUUGAUGAGUAUCUGCCCCCCGCGGAGAGCCUCCGGGAGAUGGACGACGGCUCGUGUAAGAAAGUCCGCAAGAACGGACUCAAUUGUCUCGUCUGCGAGAAAGCCAAUUCCGCCGGGACGUUCGAGCAGUGCUCUUACGAGUCGGACCCAAAAGAGAACGCCUACGAGUAUUCGACCAAAGAGACUUACGGCUCAAAAAACAGGCCCUCCGAAAGGUACCGACGUUCCCGAGUCAAGAAAGACAUAAACCUCAGGAAUAGCCCGUUCGACUCGGGACUUUUGCCCAAAGGCCCAUCGAUCGGACGAGGCAAGAUCGACCUCCUGGGAAGGAACAACGGUUUCAAGUCGGACUUGGGAAAAUCGUAUUCCCUGAGUGGGAGCUCGGAUGACGAUUUUUCCAGUAGCGUCUUCCCGGAUGUGAAAGUUCCCGGUCUAGGAGGCGGCAAGUCCAACCAUUUCUCAAAUGAGUUCUCGUCCGAUCUCGAUGCUGCCAUCAAACCUGAAUCCGAUUUCCUUCCUAAAUUCGCGUCCAAGUCUUCGUUGAACUCCGGAGGAGGUCUGUUCCAAAAACAAAGACCGUCGCUGUUCGAUAACCGACCGCAGUUGAGGCUCAAACCGGAGAAGAACUCCUACGACAGCCUCCUCGGAGACUUCACCGCCAAAGACCGUUCCCACUGCAAGAAGGAGAUCAAGGAUGGGUCCACCUGUUACUAUUGCACCGACGACGAAGGGUCGGAACACGAGGAGUGCAUGUACGUGAAGAAGUCUCAACCAGAGAACAAGGAGGUCAAGUACCACCAGUCGAAGGAAGUGAAGACGCCGCUGCGGGGCCACAAGGCGGCGGACAAAUUCGACGAGAUACUGAACUCGAACACCGCCCACAAACCGGUUUACAGGCAGACGGACGAGGGGAUGGACUCUGUCGAGGACUUUGAAGAGGAUGUCGAGUCGACUUACGCCAAACACGAAGCAGCGAGUCCUGGCUUCUACCACGAGGGAUCACCGGCUAUGUCGACCGUCAGUCGGACGGACUUCAAGGGCGAUGAGAGCCCGACCGGGUAUCGCUACAAUACCCAGCAUACAACCUCGCCGAAUGGCCGAGAGGAUAGUGCUCCCACUCAAAAGCCAUCCAACCGUUUGAGUUACGGAAUGCUGGACUAUCCGACAAAACCGCCGCCCGCACCGCUUGACACGGAUAAAGAUUUUGAUAAUCUGGAAUCCGCCGUCGGGGGCGGGGAUACAGAGCCUCUGGGGGAGAAUUCCAGCAACAACCUCCGCCACCACGAGGCUCGAAGUGAUGAUGAUGUUCAGCUCGUCUACGAUAACCGGUUCAAGAUGACCUUGCCCAAGUUCAUGGUCGAGAAGACGGAGCAGGAGGAUGAGUUCGAUAGUACCUACACGAAAAUGCUGGAGAACAUUGAUAAAAUGUGA